GACUUGAUGGUCUAGUGGUACAAUUCCUGUGUAAGUAAUUUCCAAUCUUCUCGAGCAACCCUAACCAGCACCAGUUGGGGUAUCCUAUACGUGAAUGCAGGAGGUCCUGAAUUCGAAUCUCGGUCAAGUCC